rnacentral:lncRNA from 1 species
CCGUUAGAUCUUGCUGAGAUGAAAUCUGGGCCGUUUAAACUCACUAAAAUAACCGCUCUGGUGGCGGUUCCAAGAGGUUAUGGUCGGUUUUUGUUUCUGGUGGUUACCUCCAUCUUUUGCUACCCACUAUCUCCAUAACUCAACCACCUAAAUGUCACCUUUAACCGUUUUAAGUAUUGAUUCUCUCUCACUUGUCUCUCCCCUAACUUCUCCCACGUUCGUCUGCCACUAUGUAUAAAACUAUCAACAUCCUCUCCAAUCCAUUAUACACCUUCGUCUCGAAUUCUCUGCUCCUUUCUCACCAAGAAAACCCAAAUCAACAAUCGAAUUUUCUCUGGCCGUCUCUCCCCCAACCAAAUCCAAAUCAACAAUCAAUUGUUGAUUUGCAUCCCUAACCCAAAAGGCAUAGAAGCAUCUAAUUGUUUACACCCAAAUUGGAAAAAUUAGGGUUCGCUUUGUUAAAUGUGAAGUGAGUUGCCGGCCACUCGUGUUGAAGUCGACGAUUGUUGCGUCAUUGGAUCAGGAAGAAUGAACAAGGACGACGGGCGGUGUUGGUGAAGAUGUAGGAUGACGGGUGGCACUGGUGUUGUUCCCAGAAAAAAAAAACACAAUCUCGGUUCCGGUGAACCUAGGGUUCCUCCAUGACCUCAUACGAAGGUGGUGAUGGAUUCUGAAUAACCAGCAACGAUGGUUAAAGGAUUCAAGUGGGUGAAGACGAUCCAACAUGUUUUCUGGCGAGUCCCCUGUAAGUUUCUUGUGUUUUUCAUGUCUCUAUUUUAACCCAUCGGUGUUAGUGAAGGAAUUUAAGCGGCAAAGACAAGAAGCUAGAGUUCCGACCAAGUACGGCAAGGUUCCGGUGACCUGAUUCAGUUGUGGCGAUAAAGCUGACCGGCUCAACAUUUUGCAAAAGCCGCUACGGUUUUGGGUGCGUUUAAUCCCGAGAUUGAUUUUGCUUCUCCUUUGGAUGGUGAUGGUCAUGGAAGGGACCUAUGGACUUCGUUGACUUCUGCUGAACCAAGAAGAGAAGUAGAAAUUUUGGAUUACAUAUAUCCAGGUAUGACAUUUGCGACUGUGAAUAUGGAUACAACUAGUAGCGGAUUCAAGUUACCAAAGGAUUGUGCAAUUUGCCCAAAGUUGUGUUCACCCCUUUCCAUUUAGACAGAGCGUUAUUUAUAUGGAUGAUGUGUUACUCUUGGAAAGUGGGGAGCAAGGAUCGGCUUUUUGUGAGGAUAAAUGUUGGGUUCAAUGGGCAGAAGCCGAUAAGUUGGGCACAGUGGGAAGAUCCCAUAUUGUUUCCCAUAGUUUGGACCUGGCAUGAUGCAAGAGUGAACCAGGUCACUUGAGAAAGAACUUGCUGAGGCUUUGUGGGAAAAUAACACCGGGUUGAUAGCUUCCUGACCAAGGGACGAAUUCAUCAGUCACAAGUAUAUGGAAAAACAGUUAAAAAGGAACACGAUAACGAUGCAUCUUUACCUGAGACCGACUUGAAAGAACUUUAAGAAUUUAUCUUCACAUGAGCCUCAAAUAUUAAAAAGUAGAAGCCGAAAGAGAAGAGCUUAUAUCAGGUAAAUUAUAUCUUCUAUAAUUCCUUAAAUGUUAAUAUCCAAGAUUAGUAUCCAUUUUAGGAAGACAAAAAGUAUGAUACACUGAUUGAUGACUUCAUAAAUUUUGAUAUAAUGUAUAAAUUUUGAUAUUUAUAUUGUUGGGUUAGUUGGUUGUUCGCGGGUUAGUUCACGGGUCGGGUAGAAACAGUUCGGUAGCUUGCAGGUUACCCGGGUCAAAUGUUAGCAGGUUAGCGGGUCAUGUGUGAUGGGUCGGACAAGUGGUAACUAUUAACGGGUCAGUAGGAAUAACCUGGUAAUGGAUGACCGAGUUUGCUAGAGGAUCAUUGGAAGAUGGAUGAUAUGGUUGCUGACUUGCUGAAUAAAAGGAGUUCGACAGGAAUAUACUUUCAGCACAUGCAUUUUAUAUGUUUUGUUUAUAAUUAUAAACAGGAUAGAAUUAUUUUUAUUUAGUUUAUUUGUAUCCUCAUUUUCAUUCGUAUACAG